GCUGUUGUUUGCCCUAGCUGUAUUUGUAAUUUAAAAAAUUAAAACAACAACAUGAAGGGCUCCCUAAAUGUACUGUACGUUGGAUAUUUGUCUGCUAAAUUUCUUAGUAUUAUAACUAUACAGUAGAUAAUGCUGUCCUUUAGCAUAUUUGGAGUGGCAUAAUAGUAAUAGUGCUAACGUUUGCUAGUAGUGAAACUGUGGUUAAUACUUGAUUAGCUAAGUUAGCAAACACAACGCUACGGUAUUUAAAGAUGAAGCUGACCUGCACUUGAAGCCCUGAACAGGUCAGUAAUUUUGCUAGAUUUUGCCUUUUCUUUUUAGAGGGUUUUCUUUUUGAGUGCGCUUUCCUCUCUGCUCCACCUGGCCACUUCCUCUCCAUGCUCACUCUGUGCAUUGAUGACUGUUCGAAACCUUUCACCGGAGCUGAGGAGAAUGGUAGCCUUGCAAGUCAAGACUAACAUUAUUCAUGAUUUAUUAUUGAAUGCCGAAUUCGGAAAGGAUCACUUGAGCACAUCAGACAUGCGAUAAUAUAAAAUAAUAACGAUUAAAUAAAUAAAUCAAUAAAUAAAUAUUUUUUAAUAAAUAAAAAAAUAAUAAAAAUCAGUCAACAGGCCACCGGGAUUUCUCACGGUCUUAGCCUGGAAAUCUGCAUCCCUUUUCCUCUUCCCUACAUUGAAAAAGUUUGCAGAAACACAUGACAAUAAAUACAAAAGCCCUGAAACAGUAGAAAUCAUCAAAUAAUGAUUGAUAUUGUUUCCACUACAAAACCUUUAUAUUAAAUCAUUUGUUUUGGGCCAUCAUUUUCCAUAUUUUUAUUUCACAUUUUACUAGCAUUUUUAAGUCAUGAAUAAAUGGUUCACAGGUGUCCAUUUUACAUUAAGGUGCUCUAUCACCGGUUACUAACGUUUAUAAGUCAUGAUUAAAUGGUUCACAGGUGUCCAUUUUACAUUAAGGUGCUCUAUCACCGGUUACUAACGUUUAUAAGUCAUGAUUAAAUGGUUCACAGGUGUCUAUUAAGGUUCACCAGUAUAACUACUACUGGAAGUAAUUGAUUCAUUAAUGAAAUAUCACAAAUAAAUAAGUUAGUCACCCUUUUUGCAUUUAGUGUUUCGGAGGAUAUACAUUUUGACAAAUUAAUCUUGAUGAACAAGAGAAAUCAGUCAUUUUUUAAUUGCUGUGGAUAAGCAUCAUGACCUGAAGGAAUUUUACAGAGAACUGUAAGACAUUCAGAGUAGCACCUGGUAAGCAACAUGUUUGGAAAAGUGACAUGAAUCAUGAGGUAUUAGAAUAAUAAUAAAAACCAAUACAACACUCUUCAAUCUCACUAUAACAGUCUAUUUUGUAAUUAAUAUCAUGAUAAACAUCAAUGUGGUUUUGGGUCUAAUAAGUGUGAAUACAUACAUUUAUUAAGCAUUUAUAACAUGCAAGUUAAAAUAGCUCCCUAUUUGGCAGGUAUUUCAUUAGAGUCACCUUUUUAAUUCAUGUAGUUAUAACUGCCUAUAAAUGAUUGAUAGUGCAUUUGUAAAUGAGUUAUUACUCAUUAAUGAACACCUUUAUAAAUGCUUUACAAAGGGAACCUUAACGUAAAGCGUUACCAUUUUAUCCAUAUAACAUCUAAGGUUUGAAUAGCAAUGUGUACAAUUUUGGUAUUAACUUCUCACUAAGGGCACAUAACUCUGAAUAUGGCCCUUUAUGUGUAAGAUGGGCCACAAUAGUUUCUAGAAAAAGAA